rnacentral:rRNA from 1 species
CCUACGGGAGGCAGCAGUAGGGAAUCUUCCACAAUGGGCGAAAGCCUGAUGGAGCAACGCCGCGUGGGUGAAGAAGGUCUUCGGAUCGUAAAACCCUGUUGUUAGAGAAGAAAGUGCGUGCGAGUAACUGUUCACGUUUCGACGGUAUCUAACCAGACAGCCACGGCUAACUACGUGCCAGCAGCCGCUGUAAUACGUAGGUGGCAAACGUUAACCGGAUUUAUUGGGAGUAAAGGGAACGCAGGCGGUCUUUUAAGUCUGAUGGGAAAGCCUUCGGCUUAACCGGAGUAGUGCAUUGGAAACUGGGAGACUUGAGUGCAGAAGAGGAGAGUGGAACUCCAUGUGUAGCGGUGAAAUGCGUAGAUAUAUGGAAGAACACCAGUGGCGAAAGCGGCUCUCUGGUCUGUAACUGACGCUGAGGUUCGAAAGCGUGGGUAGCAAACAGGAUUAGAUACCCCUGUAGUC